rnacentral:misc_RNA from 1 species
ACACUCUCAAGCUUUGCUUGGUAUUGGUGGUCGCCCCGCGGGGCGCUUCCGAAACUCAGCGGCGACGUAGCCGGACUCCCUGGCGUAGUGACAUUUUUUGUCGCCCCGGAGUCGUCGGUCUUGCGCCAGCCGGACAACACCCCAAUUUAUUAAAA